UUUAUUAAAAGGAAAAUCCGAACUUGUGCUGUAACGAAUAGUUUAUAAAUGAAAAAUUGAAUGCCAUGUAAAUAAAAGUUAAAAUUAUUAUUUUUUCUUUCGAUACAUAAAAAUGAUUAUACAAAAAUGUGAUUUAUUAGAGUAGAAAAUUCAAAUUAUCUUGUUUGUAAUUGAUUAAGGGCUGUUUCCACUAUUACUGAUUACAAAGGAGAAAAACGAAAAUAAUAUUUUUAUUUGUUUCCCUUUCGCGAAGGUAAUAGAUGCCAUUUUCAUAUCGAAAGCAGCAGCUGAUAGAUAACGCACUCACAGUACUCUAUGACGCGAUUAGUAUAGGUUAGAUUAGUUUUGAGUGGGUGUUCUAGGAUAGGACACACUUAGAGGGUUGACUCAUGUCCGGCCACUACUCCAUGAACCAUUUGGAGCUAUUUAAAAACAACAAAAGCGCUUUGACGUCAACAAAUUUAAGUUUCAAUAGGUUGUCAAAGAAAGUCUGGCUCAAGUGAGUCUUAUUUUUUCAAGACAAGAGCUGGACAGUGAAAGAGAAGGUGAGACAUCGUUUCUUCCUCCUCACCACUGUGGUAGCUCCUGCAAUAGUCCUGAUAUACAAUCAGGUCCAGGCGUUCUGCGUGCCUACCGCCUAGCCAGUGUCAUGUAAUAGCCGCAACGCUUUUGCUUACAGAGGCCAUAAGAGCUUCGGAACGCCUACGAUCAUACUCAGACCAUAUCUGCCUUGUAGUACCACAAGCGCGUUCCCUCCUCCAUUAAAGAUUGGUCUUUUUUUAAGAUAUCUUCAUUCAGGAACAGCUCUCGUUCGCAAAUGGUACUCCCGUGCGGCUAUUUAUUCUUUUGUCCAGCAGCGUAAGGCCGAAAUCAAGGAUUUUAUUGAAAAAUAAUGGAAUAAGCCCUUAAUCCUUGAAAUAAAUAUUUAAAAUAAUACAAAAUCAAGGUUUUCGCACACAAUCGAAAACUAAUUCACUAAAAAAAAAUACAUAAUUAUAAAAAUUGUUCAUUGAACCUUCUGUUAUUAUUUUGUUAAUAUUUACCGUAAACUGUAGUGCCUCAAUUUACGUUUUUUUUAGGAAAUGUUAGGUUGUGAAUACGUAAAGUUAAAUAUGUUAGGUCUUCGGAAUACAGACAAAAGGAGAACGAACAUUAUAGACUUGAAUGGUCUAUAAUGGGGAGGAAAUAGUUCAGAUUUCGGCACCUAAAUUGCUUAAAGUAUGAGUAUUGUCGUGGCCCCAAGACAAUGAAAUUCUUGGGACCCCUUACAGCUGUCUGUUUUUUUCGUGUGCGUUCUCUUCAUGUCUCUAUUCCGAUCAUAUUAAGUCAUAUACAUUUCGUGCCGUUUUUGUUGUAACAAAAUGUUUUUUAAAAAGUGUUUUGAGAAUGUUUUUCAAGUAUUUAACCCCCUCGAGGGUAAUUUUUUGUAAAAGGUUAUUAAAAUUGUUAAGAAAUUUUGGAAAAUUAUUAAAUAAGUUGGAAUUAAAAAAAAUUUAUUGGUACGAAAUGUGAUUCAAAGAAUACGAGAAAAUGUCCUUGAAUUAUGCCAACAAAAAUUACCAUUUAUUAUUUUGAAGUCUUCCGUUGUAGAUGCCAAUAUAGAGAUUUUUUUAAAUCGCACAUCUUCCAUUAAUUAGUGAACGAAACAAAAGUCGUUUUCUCGUAUUUUUUAAAAAACAAUUUCAGUAAAAAAAAUAUAACAUUAUUUAACGAAUGUGUUUUUCGUGACUAAAAUUUCAUACUUGUAAUCCGCGUAAACUUUAUCCGCCCCAUUCUCCCUUUUUUUUUUUUUAAUAUCAAAGAACAAAAAUUUAUUAUAUAUAUUUAAAAAUAAAAACACAAGUCCAUAAGGGUGAAAUCACAAGAUGGCAGAGGUUAUGAAAAACAGAAAGAUGGUAAACCAAAAAUAAAUCUUAUUUGAAGGAAAUAUCGAAAAAUCUUGGAAAGUUUAUCGAUGAAAUCAUAUGAAUUUGGAAAAAUCUCGAAAUUUUGGUUUUAGGUUUGGAUAAAAAUCAUGAUCACGAACACCAUCUAACGUUUUUGUAGAAAUACUUCCUCUUUAUAUGAUAAAUUACAUUGGAAAAUCGGGAAUAAUUGGGGAAUUUUAGAAGUCAAUUUUCUUGAUCAACCCGCUACUGAUUUUUGCCAUCUUGAGUAUUCAACCUAAUUUAAUGUGUUUAAUAUAUAAAAAAAAAACCAUUGUAAUAUGUUAGUGCCAAAAUUUUAUAUAUUAUUAUUAAUAAUGAUUAUAUUAGGGUCACCUUAACUACUGGUUCAAGUGGGCAAAAUGGUUUCUAGUUGUAAAUUUCCUGUAGUUGUUUCACUUAAAACAGUUUUCUCUGAAGGAAAAAUGAAAACCUGUUCGUUAAAAGGCAACAUGGAACAUGAAUGUUUCGAGUUAGAACGUAAUUCUUUUUGUGAAUGAACCAAUAAUUAUAACGAGUGUUUUUUAGAGGUUCGCAACUUUAAAUUAAAAUAAAACAAACAUUUUGUGGUAUUAAUAUUUUUCGCAAUCUGGAUGUUCAAUAUUCACACACUUUUCGCAGCAAUCGCACAAUCUUGAAUGCUAAUUAACAGCUCCUAAUUCGUAACUAUAAACGGCUUGCAGAACCAAGUUCACUAAGUUUAAGCAUUUAUUUAACC